rnacentral:rRNA from 1 species
UACAGAGGUCCCAAGCGUUGUUCGGAUUCAUUGGGCGUAAAGGGUGUGUAGGCGGCGCCGUAAGUCAGGUGUGAAAUCUUGGGGCUUAACUCCGAAACUGCAUUUGAUACUGCGGUGCUUGAGGACUGGAGAGGAGACUGGAAUUUACGGUGUAGCGGUGAAAUGCGUAGAUAUCGUAAGGAAGACCAGUGGCGAAGGCGGGUCUCUGGACAGUUCCUGACGCUGAGACACGAAGGCCAGGGGAGCAAACGGG